UCUGAAGCUCAAAACUAUUUGAGACACGUCAGUGGUGAUAAAGUGUCACAAAGGGUGGGGGUGAUUUGGCUGGCCACAUCCUUCCCGCACACCCACUCAAGGAAAAGACACGUCUGUGAGACUGUCAUGAUACCUCCCGUCAAAAAAAAAAAAAAAAAAGAGAGAGAGCCAUCAUCACAGCCAGAAAGUUUUAAUGAUUGUUAUGGGAGGAAUGCGUCACAACACACAGUGCAUCACCCUGUCUACCGUCGAAAGCACCUACAAUAGGCAAGCGAGCGUCAGAACUGGACCUUGAGGCAGUGGAAGAAGGCCCCUGGUCCGAUGAGUCCUUUUGAACGGAAACCAGGAUGCACUGUGGGAAGAUGACAAGCCGGUGGAGGGAGUGUGAUGCCCUUGGCAAUGUUCUGCUGGGAAACCCCGGGUCCGGCCAUUCAUGUGGACGUAAAUUUGACACGUGCCACCUACCUAAACGUUGCAGACCAGGUGCACCCUUUCAUGACAAUGGUGUUCCCUUGUGGAAGUGGCCUCUUUCAGCAGGAUAAUGCACCCUGCCACACUGCACACAUUGUUCGUGAAUGGUUUGAGGAACAUGAAGAGCUCAAGAUGUUGCCCUGGCCUCAAAUCUAAUUGAGCAACUGUAGGGUGUGCUGGACCAUGCAACAAGUUCGAUCCACAACGGCUCCACAUCGCAACCUACCACCUGCCAGAUACGACAUGCUACAUUCACACUGUCAGUUUUUUAGGGUUGACAACCACAUUUAUUUACAGAUGUGAGUCUCAAAAUGUCAAGUUCGCACAACAACUUACACUAGCUUUUCAAAUAUGGUCUGUAUGAACAUGUAACGGGAGUCAAGCCCAUAUUCUUUUACCAGUAACCACAGCGACAGUGACCAAAGUUAUAUAAAAGAUGGCAAAGUCCAUAAAAUGAAAAGUCUUAUCACUUUUGACACGACAAUCCAAUCGUCCAAUCAAGCCAAGAGUUCAUCCAUUAAACCUUCAUUAACUGUCAGCAGCUUUUAUAUGUGGGUGGAGAGUGGAGCAUUUGAGUCACGCUUAGAACAUCUCUGGACCGGUGGAGAACAGUGACCGGAUCUAGAACCUUCAGAUGAGCUCAUAUCUCUAUCGUUGUAAGCUAUUGAAACGACACAUGAAAACAUGCAACUCACAGUAGACACGUGUUUGUGCAGUGCAGAGAGGACCUUUCACACUGUAUGACGUGAAAGACAACUAGAUGUCCAGUCCGGUUCUGCUCACACAGCGCGAGUGUUGAAAAUGUACAGGUGUGAGUUCGGUUAUAGAAUGCGGUUGUCACUAAAUAAAUAACUAAACUGUAUGUGAAUGUAACCGUAUUAAGGACUCAAAUACAGGAUUGACAAUUUAUAUAUAGGGCUAUAUACAGGCAUCUAGGUUACACCUUGGCAUUACAUAUGAUUUUAUUUAUUUAUUUCCACAAGAUGGCACUACUCUGCCUCCAUUCAAUACUCUGUUUUAAAAAGAAAAAAGUCUAAAAUUGAAAAAUAAAUAAAAUGUUUUUAAAUAUAUUUUAUUUUAUGUAGACAAAUAUUGUGUAUAAUCUAAAGGUGAAUAUUGUUUUGUACCAUAAAAUAAUUUAUAUAUUUAUUAGUAAUACUUAUUAAUGACAAUUUAAUAAUAAUAAUUUUAAUUAAUAAUAUUAUUUUAUUUCAUAAUAUUUUAAAAUUAAUAUUUAAAAAAUAUACUGAACUAAAAUAUAGUGCAUUCAUAUGAUGAAAAAAAAGAAAAUGUUACGAUUAUAGUCUUCUGUCUCUUUUGACUGCUGAGGACCACAAGUGUGAGGUGGUACAAUAGGAUUAAGGCUUUAUUUGUUUAUUUUGUCUUUACAAACAUUAAAAUCUUGUUUAUACUAAUUGCAAAUAGUGAUAUAUUACUAUCCUCACAAAGACGAUAUUAAAAGUGAUUUUCCAAAACAACAUGGUUUGCUAUUUGCAACGAUGAAUGAAGACAAAUGAAGAUAUUAUUAUUAUAGGAUACUGUAGGUCCAGAGCUUAAACCUAUGUGGACAUGACUAAACAUCAAGGUCAUAUGACAAAACGCUGAUGGUUUGUUGCCUAUUCAGUAAGGAAAUUCAGUGAAUGAGAUUUUAGAGCCCCCUAGAGGUUAAUACUGUAACUGCAACACUGUCCUUAAAAUUUUACCAAACAACUAAAAUGUACAAAAUUAAACCUACCAUAAUAACAACACCCAUCCAGGAUAAUAUAAAUAAAACUCCACCUCAAAAUGCUUAAUAAUUUGUACAAUUUAAAAAAAAAAAAAAAAAAAAAAAAAAACCGGUUAAGUUAUUGAUGACCCAUCAAUAUCAAAAUCACUAUAACAGUGUUUAUAAAUGCAUCUACGACAGCUCGUUGAAGCCGUGCAUUAGUCAUUGACUUGGACUUGGUAAACAUACUUACCUUUACAAUUACGUGUUAACGUCCAGUUCGAAAAAGAGCUGCAUUUAGACUGCCUGAAAGCAGGUAAGGCAAUACUGCUCUGCCUCGCGCCUGAAAAUACACUCCAUGUCUGUAAACCCAACGCCGUAGAUCG